rnacentral:rRNA from 1 species
AACGAACGCUGGCGGCAUGCCUAACACAUGCAAGUCGAACGAGACCUUCGGGUCUAGUGGCGCACGGGUGCGUAACGCGUGGGAACCUGCCCUUAGGUUCGGAAUAACUCCCCGAAAGGGGUGCUAAUACCGGAUAAUGUCUUCGGACCAAAGAUUUAUCGCCUUUGGAUGGGCCCGCGUUGGAUUAGCUAGUUGGUAGGGUAAAAGCCUACCAAGGCGACGAUCCAUAGCUGGUCUGAGAGGAUGAUCAGCCACACUGGGACUGAGACACGGCCCAGACUCCUACGGGAGGCAGCAGUGGGGAAUAUUGGACAAUGGGCGAAAGCCUGAUCCAGCAAUGCCGCGUGAGUGAUGAAGGCCGUAGGGUUGUAAAGCUCUUUUACCCGGGAGGAUAAUGACAGUACCGGGAGAAUAAGCUCCGGCUAACUCCGUG